rnacentral:rRNA from 1 species
UUACGGCUACAUCACGUUGAAAUACCGGUUCCCGUACGAUCACCGAAGUUAAGCAACGUCGAGCCUGGUCAGUACCAAGAUGGGUGACCGCUUGUGAAUAUAUGGUGCUGUAAG